rnacentral:tRNA from 1 species
GCCCGGGUGGUGAAAUUGGUAGACACAAGAGACUUAAAAUCUCUCGAUCUUACGAUCGUGCCGGUUCGAUUCCGGCCCCGGGCA